AAUCCAAGUCAGCAAGCUCAUGUCAUGGAGUCCAUGGAGCCUGAAAACAUUUUUCAUUCUCGUCUCUGUUCUCUAACGACAAACAUCUCUUCCAACGAAAACCAAAUUUUUUGGGGCUGAAAUCCCAUUUCCGUAAACAGGCAAAUAAUAGCAAGAUGUGCAACCCCGGAAUGGGCUCGAUGUCUGGUACCUGCUGCGGACCGACUGGCGGACUCGGACCCUGCUUGCUGUGCGGUCCCUACAACGGCCAGUGGUUCAAGUCCAUCAACCACUGCUGCGGUCCCUGCGGGCCCUAUGGCUGCUGUUCCUGCUACGGGCCAUCCGGCGGACACUGUUAGCUGGAACGAAGGAUUUUUUCACCUCUUGUACUACUGGGUGUCCCACAUUAUAGCCAGUGCAGCGAUGAAAGAGAUGACUGGGCCGAGGUGGAGCCAAGAAAUUUGUGUUUUCCAGAAAUUGUUGGGGACAGAGCUCAAUGGAAUCUGUAAUUUAGAUCCAAAAGUUAAUAAAUUCCACGUAUACUUUUAAAAUAAAGGAUCAACUAUCAAACUAA